AUUGAACGCUGGCGGCAUGCCUUACACAUGCAAGUCGAACGGUAACAGGGUAAGCUGACGAGUGGCGGACGGGUGAGUAAUGCAUGGGAACGGGCCCCGUAGGGGGGGACAGCCCGGCGAAGGCCGACGUAAGACCGCAUACGACAAAAGGGCGAAAGGGGGGGAUGGGAAAGCAUCGGGCUAUUGGAGCGGGCGAUGUCAGAUUAGCUAGUUGGUGGGGUAAAAGCUCACCAAGGCGACGAUCAGUAGCUGGUCUGAGAGGACGAGCAGCCACACUGGAACUGAGACACGGCCCAGACUCCUACGGGAGGCAGCAGUGGGGAAUUUUGGACAAUGGGCGCAAGCCUGAUCCAGCCAUGCCGCGUGCGGGAAGAAGGCCUUCGGGUUGUAAACCGCUUUUGUCAGGGAAGAAAUCCUUUGGGUUAAUACCUCGGGGGGAUGACGGUACCUGAAGAAUAAGCACCGGCUAACUACGUG
rnacentral:rRNA from 1 species